rnacentral:rRNA from 1 species
GAUGAACGCUGGCGGCGUGCCUAAUACAUGCAAGUCGAGCGAACGGACGAGAAGCUUGCUUCUCUGAUGUUAGCGGCGGACGGGUGAGUAAAUCGUGGAUAACCUACCUAUAAGACUGGGAUAACUUCGGGAAACCGGAGCUAAUACCGGAUGAUAUUUUGAACCGCAUGGUUCAAAAGUGAAAGACGGUCUUGCUGUCACUUAUAGAUGGAUCCGCGCUGCAUUAGCUAGUUGGUAAGGUAACGGCUUACCAAGGCAACGAUGCUUAGCAGACCUGGGAGGGUGACCAGCCACGCUGGAACUGAGACACGGUCCAGUCUCCUUCGGGAGGCAGCAGUAGGGAAUCUUCCGCAUUGAGCUAAAGGCUGACGUGGCAACGUCGUGUGAGUGAUGAGGGUUUUCGGAACGUAAACCUCUGUUAUUAGGGAAGAACAUAUGCGUGAGUACCUGCGCACAUCUUGACGGUACCUAAUCAGAAAGCCACGGCUAACUACGUG